GAUGAACGCUGGCGGCGUGCCUAAUACAUGCAAGUCGAGCGAACGGACGAGAAGCUUGCUUUUCUGAUGUUAGCGGCGGACGGGUGAGUAACACGUGGAUAACCUACCUAUAAGACUGGGAUAACUUCGGGAAACCGGAGCUAAUACCGGAUAAUAUUUUGAACCGCAUGGUUCAAAAGUGAAAGACGGCCUUGCUGUCACUUAUAGAUGGACCCGCGCUGCAUUAGCUAGUUGGUAAGGUAACGGCUUACCAAGGCAACGAUGCAUAGCCGACCUGAGAGGGUGAUCGGCCACACUGGAACUGAGACACGGUCCAGACUCCUACGGGAGGCAGCAGUAGGGAAUCUUCCGCAAUGGGCGAAAGCCUGACGGAGCAACGCCGCGUGAGUGAUGAAGGUCUUCGGAUCGUAAAACUCUGUUAUUAGGGAAGAACAUAUGUGUAAGUAACUGUGCACAUCUUGACGGUACCUAAUCAGAAAGCCACGGCUAACUACGUG
rnacentral:rRNA from 1 species